rnacentral:lncRNA from 1 species
UCUUUUCGUCUUCCUGGGAACAGGUACAAGUGCCAACAGCCGAGCUGGAGUGCUCCUUGGAGGAAUACGCCACCAUGGCCUGCCUGCUGAUGGACAUCCCAGUGUACAAGGGCAAGUUGAUCCAGUCGCUGCACGUACUUUUCAGCUUGUUCACCGCCUUCAAGAACUCGCAGCACUUCGGCGCAAUGGCCAUGGACACAGGAGGCGGUGGAGCUGGCAAGGCAGCCGCCGAGGACGCUGAUGCAGAAGGAGUGGACCGCCUUGUGCUGUGACGCAAAUGUCCAUGCUGAACUGAUCGGUGGCACUUCAGCUUCUUCAGAGGAACUCAAGAAUUGAAGAACCGCGGAGUUGGUUUAUGCUGAUGGUUACUCGAGAAACUAACGCGCACAAUAAGAGCUGUCGCGUUUGUCGUGCGCACGUUUAAUUCUUGAAGCAGAUAUUUUCUACACUGCCUUAGUAUCAUCACGAAGCCGCUUCUUCAGUCUGGCCACUUCCAUUUCAUUCCGCAUUAAUUCCCGGUGAGGCGAUAUUCACUGUGACAGGAAUUCUUGGUAGCGCCGUGAAACGGACAGUUUAUCCCGCCCGCGCUCGACAAGGAAGUUUGAAGGCUCACUAUGAGCACAAGCCCAAGGCAGACCGUGACAUGCGACGGCCAAUCGCUCCGUAUAAAAUUCCCUAAGAAUUACUCCCACUCAUUUAUUAUCACAGCAAUCGCUGUUUAUGCGAUGACUUCCCCAGUCAUUUGGAUGUUCGCCCAUGUUAGCGGUGUCCAUCAUAGGAAUAACAACGUGCUUUGAAAUAAUUUUAUAAAAGAAUAAAUAAAAUUUUAAAAAGUUACACUUCUCAGCGAGGUAUCGUAAUCCGGACCUACGAAGUAGCAGUCUAAUAUUUUAGCUCCCAUUAAUCCCACUGAUGUUGUGAAUUGAUUCCGCUGAAUACUGUGACCCGCCUCUUCAGAGCUCGCAAAAAAUCAUUAGCUGAGGCCACGUAUAGGUUAUAGUAGCUUUUCCAUAAACCAGCACCCAAGUGAAAGAACUUAAGCGACGCCAUCAGUAACAAGCGAGAGGAAUGGUAGGAAAGAGGCAGAAAAAAUUGCGGCUUUCCACUUC